GAUGAACGCUGGCGGCGUGCCUAAUACAUGCAAGUCGAGCGAACGGACGAGAAGCUUGCUUCUCUGAUGUUAGCGGCGGACGGGUGAGUAACACGUGGAUAACCUACCUAUAAGACUGGGAUAACUUCGGGAAACCGGAGCUAAUACCGGAUAAUAUUUUGAACCGCAUGGUUCAAAAGUGAAAGACGGUCUUGCUGUCACUUAUAGAUGGAUCCGCGCUGCAUUAGCUAGUUGGUAAGGUAACGGCUUACCAAGGCAACGAUGCAUAGCCGACCUGAGAGGCGGAUCGGCCACACGGGAACGGAGACACGGUCCAGACUCCUACGGGAGGCAGCAGUAGGGAAUGUUCCGCAAUGGGCGAAAGCCUGACGGAGCAACGGCGCGUGAGUGAUGAAGGUCUUCGGAUCGUAAAACUCUGUUAUUAGGGAAGAACAUAUGUGUAAGUAACUGUGCACAUCUUGACGGUACCUAAUCAGAAAGCCACGGCUAACUACGUG
rnacentral:rRNA from 1 species